AAAGAUUAAGCCAUGCAUGUCUAAGUAUAAGCAAUUAUACAGCGAAACUGCGAAUGGCUCAUUAUAUAAGUUAUCGUUUAUUUGAUAGUACCUUACUACUUGGAUAACCGUGGUAAUUCUAGAGCUAAUACAUGCUGAAAAUCCCGACUUCGGAAGGGAUGUAUUUAUUAGAUUAAAAACCAAUGCCCUCUGGGCUCUCUGGUGAUUCAUGAUAACUUCUCGAAUCGCAUGGCCUUGCGCCGGCGAUGGUUCAUUCAAAUUUCUUCCCUAUCAACUUUCGAUGUUUGGGUAGUGGCCAAACAUGGUUGCAACGGGUAACGGAGGGUUAGGGCUCGACCCCGGAGAAGGAGCCUGAGAAACGGCUACUACAUCCAAGGAAGGCAGCAGGCGCGCAAAUUACCCAAUCCCGAUUCGGGGAGGUAGUGACAAUAAAUACUGAUACAGGGCUCUUUUGGGUCUUGUAAUUGGAAUGAGUACAAUUUAAAUCCCUUAACGAGGAACAAUUGGAGGGCAAGUCUGGUGCCAGCAGCCGCGGUAAUUCCAGCUCCAAUAGCGUAUAUUAAAGUUGUUGUGGUUAAAAAGCUCGUAGUUGAACCUUGGGCCUGGCUGGCCGGUCCGCCUCACCGCGUGUACUGGUCCGGCCGGGUCUUUCCCUCUGUGGAACCCCAUGCCCUUCACUGGGUGUGGCGGGGAAACAGGACUUUUACUUUGAAAAAAUUAGAGUGCUCCAGGCAGGCCUAUGCUCGAAUACAUUAGCAUGGAAUAAUGAAAUAGGACGUGCGGUUCUAUUUUGUUGGUUUCUAGGACCGCCGUAAUGAUUAAUAGGGACAGUCGGGGGCAUCAGUAUUCAAUUGUCAGAGGUGAAAUUCUUGGAUUUAUUGAAGACUAACUACUGCGAAAGCAUUUGCCAAGGAUGUUUUCAUUAAUCAGGAACGAAAGUUAGGGGAUCGAAGACGAUCAGAUACCGUCGUAGUCUUAACCAUAAACUAUGCCGACUAGGGAUCGGACGAUGUUAUUUUUUGACUCGUUCGGCACCUUACGAGAAAUCAAAGUGCUUGGGCUCCAGGGGGAG
rnacentral:rRNA from 1 species